rnacentral:rRNA from 1 species
UAGGCUGGUUCUGAGGAGGGAUGAUCAGCCACCACCUGGAACUGAGAGACACCGGUCCAGACUCCUACGGGAGGCAGCAGUGGGAUAUGCACAAUGGGCGCAAGCUGAUGCAGCAUGCCGCGUGUAUGAAGAAGGCUUCGGGUUGUAAAGCACUUCAGUCGUGAGGAAGGUAGUGUAGUUAAUAGCUGCAUUAUUUGACGUUAGCGACAGAAGAAGCACCGGCUAACUCCGUGCCAGCAGCCGCGGUAAUACGGAGGGUGCGAGCGUUAAUCGGAAUUACUGGGCGUAAAGCGCAUGCAGGUGGUUUGUUAAGUCAGAUGUGAAAGCCCGGGGCUCAACCUCGGAAUUGCAUUUGAAACUGGCAGACUAGAGUACUGUAGAGGGGGGUAGAAUUUCAGGUGUAGCGGUGAAAUGCGUAGAGAUCUGAAGGAAUACCGGUGGCGAAGGCGGCCCCCUGGACAGAUACUGACACUCAGAUGCGAAAGCGUGGGGAGCAAACAGGAUUAGAUACCCUGGUAGUCCACGCCGUAAACGAUGUCUACUUGGAGGUUGUGGCCUUGAGCCGUGGCUUUCGGAGCUAACGCGUUAAGUAGACCGCCUGGGGAGUACGGUCGCAAGAUUAAAACUCAAAUGAAUUGACGGGGGCCCGCACAAGCGGUGGAGCAUGUGGUUUAAUUCGAUGCAACGCGAAGAACCUUACCUACUCUUGACAUCCAGAGAACUUUCCAGAGAUGGAUUGGUGCCUUCGGGAACUCUGAGACAGGUGCUGCAUGGCUGUCGUCAGCUCGUGUUGUGAAAUGUUGGGUUAAGUCCCGCAACGAGCGCAACCCUUAUCCUUGUUUGCCAGCGAGUAAUGUCGGGAACUCCAGGGAGACUGCCGGUGAUAAACCGGAGGAAGGUGGGGACGACGUCAAGUCAUCAUGGCCCUUACGAGUAGGGCUACACACGUGCUACAAUGGCGCAUACAGAGGGCAGCCAACUUGCGAAAGUGAGCGAAUCCCAAAAAGUGCGUCGUAGUCCGGAUUGGAGUCUGCAACUCGACUCCAUGAAGUCGGAAUCGCUAGUAAUCGUGGAUCAGAAUGCCACGGUGAAUACGUUCCCGGGCCUUGUACACACCGCCCGUCACACCAUGGGAGUGGGCUGCAAAAGAAGUAGGUAGUUUAACCUUCGGGGGGACGCUACCACUUUGUUCGGGC